rnacentral:rRNA from 1 species
GACGAACGCUGGCGGCGUGCUUAACACAUGCAAGUCGAGCGGUAAGGCCCUUUCGGGGGUACACGAGCGGCGAACGGGUGAGUAACACGUGGGUAACCUGCCCCGAUGACCGGGACAACCCGAGGAAACUCGGGCUAAUACCGGAUGUGAUGUCCACACACAAGUGUGUCCAUCAAAGGAAGCUUCGGCCUCCACAUCGGGAUGGGCCCGCGGCCCAUUAGCUAGUUGGUGGGGUAAAGGCCUACCAAGGCAACGAUGGGUAGCUGGUCUGAGAGGACGAUCAGCCACACUGGGACUGAGACACGGCCCAGACUCCUACGGGAGGCAGCAGUGGGGAAUCUUGCGCAAUGGGCGAAAGCCUGACGCAGCGACGCCGCGUGAGGGAUGACGGCCU